rnacentral:rRNA from 1 species
GAUGAACGCUGGCGGCGUGCUUAACACAUGCAAGUCGAACGAUGAAGCCCAGCUUGCUGGGUGGAUUAGUGGCGAACGGGUGAGUAACACGUGAGUAACCUGCCCUUGACUCUGGGAUAAGCCUGGGAAACUGGGUCUAAUACCGGAUAGGAACGUCCACCGCAGGGUGGGUGUUGGAAAGAUUUAUCGGUCAUGUAUGGACUCGCGUCCUAUCAGCUUGUUGGUGAGGUAAUGGCUCACCAAGGCGACGACGGGUAGCCGGCCUGAGAGGGUGACCGGCCACACUGGGACUGAGACACGGCACAGACUCCUACGGGAGGCAGCAGUGGGGAAUAUUGCACAAUGGGCGAAAGCCUGAUGCAGCGACGCCGCGUGAGGGAUGACGGCCUUCGGGUUGUAAACCUCUUUCAGUAGGGAAGAAGCGAAAGUGACGGUACCUGCAGAAGAAGCACCGGCUAACUACGUG